CAUCGAACCGUUGAUUUCAUAUCGAACGGUGAUGAGAUCAUCGUAACCUGAUUGUUGGUCAAUACAUCAUCUUGAAUUUAACCAUCCGACCCUUCAUCAAACGAAUCCACGAAAACAACCGUCGUCACGGCGGAGGCACCUACCAGGGAACAUCAUCUUAUUAUCGGUGGAAAGCUGUGGGACUCGGAGGUACCACCAUUGGAAGUCGAUCGAAACGGGCCAGUUCGACCAUGGCGAUACACCCAAAGCUACAUGGUUCGCAUCUGCCUACAUCUCGCCGUCAUCACCAUCACCCAUGCGAUGUGCGCCCACCAUCACCAUCAUUAAUUGAGUGGUGUGUGACACAUACGCCCCAUAAGGAUGAUGAUGCGCCAUUACCCGCUGCUUACCGUCCACACGGCUCCCUUCGUGCCACGCUGCCCUGCUCUGCUGACACAGGAAGUAAGCAAAGGGACCACGACAGCCAUAGUUGUCAUUUCCAUUUGGAAAUUUAACCCCUCUUCCUGCGCUUCUCAUACAGCUAUGUAUAUGCACACUGCUCUCUUUCUCUCUCUCAAUCUGGUCUUUUUCUGUUCUCUCUCUAUGACUGAUGAGCUGCUGCUAUAUAUAAAAAGAGGGAGGGAGAGAGUAACCGCACCUCCUCACCUCGUCCCAACUACUGACUGAACCACAUAUCUUACCCUUCCCAUCUUGUCUCUCAACUCACCAUUGCUGCCCUUCAAUUAAUGCCAACUACUCUUUUCUGAAGAAAGAGAGAAGUUCCACUGCCAGCGGCGUGUACAGAGAGGAAGUUUCACUUACUUCCCCUACAUGGGAAAGACACGUACAUAUCUGAAGUCAAGCUGCAGCGGCGUGUUUCUGUUUGUUCUUCUUUUGCUUGCCGCAUACUAGGUGAUCGAGCCUUGUGAGAGGACAGAGGGAGAAACACUUGCAUCAUCCCUCACUUUCGCCACCGUCAUAAUUGGCCGCCAUAUAAGGAUGGUGGAGUCUAUGGCGGUCGUGGUGAUUUACGACGCGUAGCGGGACCUGGGGGGAGCAGAUGUGGGAGGUGGGGUACAGCAGCGCUGCCGUGUCCGCCACUCCCCUUCCUUCCUCAUGCUCGUCCGUAUUCCUUCUCUUUUUUUCUUUUUCUUUUUCUUUUUGUGUUCCAUUCUUUCCGAUCAUCUCCUGUUUCUGAGUUAACGCACUUUGGACAUCCUUUUGUGAUCUUAUUCUCCUCAGUAAGUAUGCGUAUGCGUAUGCGAAGAAGCACAAUCAUAAUGUUAAUAAAGGUGACGGAAAUGAUUAGCGGGCCGGAGAAGGAGAUCAUUGGACUUGUCCCGGGUGCAUCAAGACCGUGGCAUGAGGCACCUCCUUGCCUUGUUAUUAUCCUCACCCUCGAAGAAGGACACCGUGAGCGACGUCUCUCGGCACCUUUCUCGCCGUCCGCCCGUGAUCCCGGGUGGCAGGUCCCGUGAUCCCUCGAACAACGCUACAAGGCGUGGGGGACCCCAGCAGUUCCCGUGACCCCGGCUGCCGAGCGGUGGCGACGUACGAGCCUCUCUCCCAUCGCACUAAUUACUGUCUUUAAUAUUAAUCUAAUCGAAUGGCAUCCGGGGAUUACACGUCCUCGUCAACCCGCCCUCCCUCGGCACCUUCCUCGCCGUCCCCUCGGGCUGCUCCGUCGCGGUCCAAUGGGAGGGGGCGGGCGCGUUCUUGGCCGACCCGCCCGCAUCGUGGGCGGUGGCCAGCGUGUGGAACUCCAAGGAGGUGUUCCCACUGGAGGUGCGGGGGGCAGGGCGGUGGCGGCAAAGGCUGGCGCGGGCGAGCCGCGCGGUGGACCGGGCGCUACCGUGGCUGCGCAUCCCCCGGAGCGGCUCGCACGCCGCCACCACUCGGCAGCCGGGGUCCCCCCACGCCGUGUUGUGCACGUGACGGAGUUCACGGGUGGGAGUUCAGAGGGGUGUUAUUAUCCUCACCCUCGGCGCGUCUCUCGGGCACCUUUCUCGCCGUCCCUCCUUCGCUCUUGAUCCCUCCCAAACGAUCGCGCGUGUGGGCCCUGUCCCGCAGGUCUCGUCAUCCCUCUCAUCCGUGAACGGUGCUACAAGGCGUGGGGAUCGGGCGCUACCGUGGCUGUGCAUCCCUCGGAGCUCCGUCACCUUUUUCUUAAAUCACUCCUCAAUCUUCUGCAUUCGGUGCAAAGAGAGGCUCGUACGUCGCCACCGCUCGGCAGUCGGAGUCCCCCAGCUUGUUGCGGCGUUCACAUGUGGGAGGAAUCAGAGACCUGCGGGACAGGGCCCACGCGCCGUCGGUUAGGAUGGAUCAAGGGCGAAGGAUGGACGGCGAGAAAGAUGCCGAGGGGCGUCGAUGUCACCGUGUUCUUCUUCGAGGGUGAGGGCAAUCAAAGGCGAAGAGGGAUUAAACCGAUUCUGGUGUAGAGGAUAGAGGAGUGAUCUAAGGUGAAGACGACCGAGUACGCGUACAUGGCGGCGGAGAUGGACACCGUGACAUCGACGUCGUCCUCGCCAACCCGCCCUCCGGCACCUUCCUCGCCUUCCCCUCGGGCUGCUCCGUCGCAGUCCGGUGGGAGGGGGUGAGCGCGUUCCUGGCCGACCCGCCCGCGACGUGGGCGGUGGCCAGUGUGUGGAAGUCCAAGGAGGUGUUCCCACUGGAGGUGCGGGGGCAGGGCGGUGGCGGUGGAAGUCCAAGGAGGUGUUAUGGUAAAAUUUUUGUUAUUUCAUUAUGCAUAAUAUAUUUUUCUUUUUUUCGUUUUUUUUUUCUUUUUUUUUCAGGUUUGAGAUGGUCCGGUACUUAGCGCCGACAAAGCAAGAAUACUUGGCGCUCUGCGGCUGAGGGUCCGGUACUCAUCGCCUGUCAUUGUUGGCCUCCGACUCAGCAUUCGGGUCGUUGAGUCUGCGAGAAGGCAUUCGGGUCUUACCAGGCUCUGGGCGGGCACAAGGCCAGCCACCGGAAGCCUAGCAACGGUGUCAAGGAAACCUCGGCCUCGGGCUCUUCCACGACUAGCGCAAGCGCCUCCACGGCGGCCUCCGGUGGCGGCAGGGUGCACCGGUGCUCCCUCGGUGUGCCUGAAGACGUUUCCGUUGGGGCAAGCGCUGGGUGGCACAAGACGUGCCACAACGACGGGAGCGUCGGCAGCGGCACUACGCCGGCGGCGAUGACGUCGUCGGAGGGGGCGAGCUCGAGGCACAUGCCGUUCUAUCUGAACGUGCCAGCGACGCCGGACUCGGAGUUCGACGACCUCAAGCGUUGGGUGGCGGCGGCGGUGAAGGAAGAGGAGGAGGUGCAGAGCCCGCUGGCUUUCAAGAAACAAAGACCUGUCGUCCCACGUGAGCGAGUCAACUCCAGUACUGGAGACCGGAGAUCACCGCCGUAGAGGAAUGAAAGCAGCCCCAGAGGAGAACUAGCCAUUGCAAUCGGACUGUCUGUUCUGUACAAGACCGAGUAUGAGUGAAAUAGUUGCUCUGUGAGAUACAUGGCCAAGGGUGCGAUUCUAGUUGUCUUUUUUCCACCCCAAUCCGAAUCCCGUGCUUCCCACA